rnacentral:lncRNA from 1 species
CAAAAUUGCUUAAUUAGCUAAAAUGAAUCAGAUAAAAAGAUAACAGAAACCUGUGGGCUUUAUAUCUCUUCAGAGGAAAUAAAACAUUUGUUUUUCCAAAGGGAUACAGCAUCUACUCACUGUACCACAAAAAUUUCAUUGCUUUAUUUAUAAGAUCAAAGACCUAAUGCCUGUCACUAAAACAGUAGCGUUUUUUCAUUUGUAUUUUCCUUACUACCAAGCAUCAGUAAAGUGUCCAUGGUGUGCAGCAAAUGAAAAGAGGAUAUGGUAUAGUUUCUUCUUAAGGGAAAUUCUCAGUCCAACUUUGAAGAGGAUACACUGAAGGACAUGCACACAUUCAAAGAAGCCAAAUCACUAAGUAUUCCUUACCCAAACCUGGAUUUUUGCACCUUCUGAGCUUUUAGUAGAGGAGCAUUUACUGUUACAGAAAAUAAAUAUGAGAACCCAGGGAACAGACUCUGCCAACCAAAAUAUAAACUGCUUAGAGGCAGUUAGCACUUAACAUAAACAUUUUGACUUGACCUGAUGAUCUGUCUGUACUCUGAAAUCUUCAUACCUUAAACUAUGGCACAAAAUUUCCUUUUCUGGAGGAGGAAGUCAUUUGUGAAGUUGUCAUCUAUAUGUUGAAGAAAAAGCUAAUGAUUGGACUGACAAUAUCCAGUCCAGAUCAGACCUCAAUUCCAGUUGUCCAUAUAAAAAUAGACAUCUUAAAGUCCUCUUCCAAGUUAUUCUGGAUUUGGGGAUAUUUCCUGUAAUAGAAUAUGCUUAGUGAUGAAGCUUCCUGGAUCACUUUAAAACUAG